rnacentral:rRNA from 1 species
CUGGGAUAACAUUCGGAAACGAAUGCUAAUACCGGAUACGCGAUUUGGUCGCAUGAUCGAAUCGGGAAAGAUGGAGCAAUCUAUCACUUACAGAUGGACCCGCGGCGCAUUAGCUAGUUGGUGAGGUAACGGCUCACCAAGGCGACGAUGCGUAGCCGACCUGAGAGGGUGAUCGGCCGCACUGGGACUGAGACACGGACCAGACUCCUACAGGAGGCAGCAGUAGGGAAUCUUCCACUAUGGACGAAAGUCUGACGGAGCAACGCCGCGUGAGUGAGUAAGGUUUUCGGAUCGUAAAGCUCUGUUGCCAGGGAAGAAUGCUUGGGAGAGUAACUGCUCCCCAGGUGACGGUGCCUGAGAAGAAAGCCCCAGCUAACUACGUGCCUGCAGCCGCGGUAAUACGUAGGGGGCAAGCGUUGUCCUGAAUUAUUGGGCUUAAAGCGCGCGCACGCGGCCUUGUAAGUCUGUUGUUUAAACUUGGGGCUCAGCCCCAACUCCCAAUGGAAACUGCAAAGCUUGAGUACACAAGAGGAAAGUGGAAUUCCACGUGUACCGGUGAAAUGCGUAGAGAUGUGGAGGAACACCAGUGGCGAAGGCGACUUUCUGGGCUGUAACUGACGCUGAGGCGC